GGACCCGCACAAGCGGUGGAGCAUGUGGUUUAAUUCGAUGCAACGCGAAAAACCUUACCUAUACUUGACAUACUUGGAAUGCUUUGUAAUGAAGCAGUGCCUUCGGGAGCCAGGAUACAGGUGCUGCAUGGCUGUCGUCAGCUCGUGUCGUGAGAUGUUCCGUUAAGUCGGAUAACGAGCGCAACCCUUACCCUUAUUUGCCAGCGAUUCGGUCGGGAACUAUAAGGGGACUGCCGGUGAUAAACCGGAGGAAGGUGAGGACGACGUCAAGUCAUCAUGGCCCUUACGUAUAGGGCUACACACGUGCUACAAUGGAGAAUACAGACGGACGCUAAGCCGCGAGUGGUGCCC
rnacentral:rRNA from 1 species